rnacentral:rRNA from 1 species
UACGGAGGGGGCGAGCGUUAUUCGGAAUUACUGGGCGUAAAGCGCGUGUAGGCGGCUAUGCAAGUCGGACGUGAAAUCCCACGGCUCAACCGUGGAAGUGCGCUCGAAACUGCGUAGCUAGAGUCCUGGAGAGGAAGGUGGAAUGCUUGGUGUAGAGGUGAAAUUCGUAGAUAUCAAGCGGAACACCGGUGGCGAAGGCGGCCUUCUGGACAGUGACUGACGCUGAGACGCGAAAGCGUGGGGAGCAAACAGG